UUAUCUUUAAAUUAGUACCUGAAUAGAAAUACCUGAAAACACAGAGGGUAAUAUUAUAUGCCCACAAAAUAUAAUGCGUAAGCUCUAUGACAGCCCUUUUAGGUUGCCGAUACAUUAUUAUGUCUAAUUGUGUUUGUGUACCUGAGGAAAUACUUGGCAGCAACGAGAAAUACAAAGCUCAGAAUCCCAAUUUUAACUGAAAGCACUGUACCAAAUGAAUUGUGCCUGUUCUUGCUUGUGCUUUUGGCACUAGAUUUAUCCCGGCUAGAAGAUGUAAUCUGGGUCUUCAUAAAUAAUGAAAACUUUUCAAUAUCUGGAGGAGUUAAUGCUGGUUUUAGCGACUCCUUUACAGUCUGGAAAUGUUGGUUGCACACAAUAGUGGCAGAUAUGUUUUCCCUCAGAGCUACAAUUCCAGCUUCCCUACAAAGACCUUCCAGUUCAGCCCCUGUGAAGAGCUCAGUAUCUUCUGCUAUUCUUCUCAGGUCAACAUCUUCGGCUACUUUCAUGUUUCGUGUAUGAACACAAAGUAUGUCAUACCGAGCCUCUAAAUCAGGAGGCGGAACAUAUAGCACCAAAUCAAAGCGUCCAGGGCGCAAAAGUGCAGCAUCAAUUGCAUAAGGACGAUUUGUGGCAGCUAACACAAGAAUUCCCUUGGCUUGUUCCAGACCAUCCAUUUCAGUCAAUAAAGUUGAUAGAAGCCUUUCUCCUACUGUAAUACUGUCACUUGAACUCCCACCCCGUUUAGCAGCAACAACAUCAGCCUCAUCAAAGAAAAUUAUGCUUGGCGCUG
rnacentral:misc_RNA from 1 species